CCUGUAGCUCAGUUGGUAGAGCAUCUGACUCUUAAUCAGAGGGUCCAGGGUUCGAACCCCUGCA
rnacentral:tRNA from 2 species